UACAGAGGUCUCAAGCGUUGUUCGGAUUCAUUGGGCGUAAAGGGUGCGUAGGUGGCGUGGUAAGUCGGGUGUGAAAUUUCGGAGCUUAACUCCGAAACUGCAUUCGAUACUGCCGUGCUUGAGGACUGGAGAGGAGACUGGAAUUUACGGUGUAGCAGUGAAAUGCGUAGAGAUCGGAAGGAAGACCAGUGGCGAAGGCGGGUCUCUGGACAGUUCCUGACACUGAGGCACGAAAGCCAGGGGAGCAAACGGG
rnacentral:rRNA from 1 species